rnacentral:rRNA from 1 species
GACAGAGGGUGCAAACGUUGUUCGGAAUUACUGGGCGUAAAGCGCACGUAGGCGGCUUUGUAAGUUAGAGGUGAAAGCCCGGAGCUCAACUCCGGAAUUGCCUUUAAGACUGCAUCGCUUGAAUCCGGGAGAGGUGAGUGGAAUUCCGAGUGUAGAGGUGAAAUUCGUAGAUAUUCGGAAGAACACCAGUGGCGAAGGCGGCUCACUGGACCGGUAUUGACGCUGAGGUGCGAAAGCGUGGGGAGCAAACAGG